GUCCUUGUAGUAUAUCGUACAUUACUCUGGUCUUGUAANCCAGAAAA
rnacentral:tRNA from 1 species